GACAGAGGGGGCAAGCGUUGCUCGGAAUUACUGGGCGUAAAGCGUGCGUAGUCGGUUAUUUAAGUCGGGUGUGAAAGCCCCGGGCUCAACCUGGGAAUUGCAUUCGAUACUGGAUAGCUAGAGUUCGGCAGAGGGAAGCGGAAUUUCCGGUGUAGCGGUGAAAUGCGUAGAUAUCGGAAGGAACAUCAGUGGCGAAAGCGGCUUCCUGGACCAGAACUGACGAUCAGGCACGAAAGCGUGGGGAGCAAACAGG
rnacentral:rRNA from 1 species